AUUGAACGCUGGCGGCAGGCCUAACACAUGCAAGUCGAACGGUAACAGGAAGAAGCUUGCUUCUUUGCUGACGAGUGGCGGACGGGUGAGUAAUGUCUGGGAAACUGCCUGAUGGAGGGGGAUAACUACUGGAAACGGUAGCUAAUACCGCAUAAUGUCGCAAGACCAAAGAGGGGGACCUUCGGGCCUCUUGCCAUCGGAUGUGCCCAGAUGGGAUUAGCUAGUAGGUGGGGUAACGGCUCACCUAGGCGACGAUUCCUAGCUGGUCUGAGAGGAUGACCAGCCACACUGGAACUGAGACACGGUCCAGACUCCUACGGGAGGCAGCAGUGGGGAAUAUUGCACAAUGGGCGCAAGCCUGAUGCAGCUAUGCCGCGUGUAUGAAGAAGGCCUUCGGGUUGUAAAGUACUUUCAGCGGGGAGGAAGGGAGUAAAGUUAAUACCUUUGCUCAUUGACGUUACCCGCAGAAGAAGCACCGGCUAACUCCGUG
rnacentral:rRNA from 1 species